rnacentral:lncRNA from 1 species
AGAAGCAGUCUGCAGUUAACAUGCUUGAGGGCAGAAACAGGAUUGUGGAGUUCCGUAGCCCAACUCUCUACAAGGACGAUGAGAAGUUGAGAGAAGCUAUGAAACAACAAGCUUAUGUGCCCGAUACUAGAUAUGUGCUUCACGACAUUGAUCAAGAGGCAAAAGAACAGGCCUUGCUUUAUCAUAGUGAACGUCUGGCAAUUGCAUAUGGUCUGAUAAGUACACCUGCCAGGACACCUUUGCGGAUCAUCAAGAACCUUCGUGUUUGUGGUGAUUGUCACAAUGCCAUCAAGAUCAUGUCAAGGAUUGUCGGGAGGGAAUUGAUUGUUAGAGAUAACAAACGUUUCCACCAUUUCAAGGAUGGCAAGUGUUCCUGUGGUGAUUACUGGUGAUUUGAUGACGGCUUAUGCAACAAUGCAUCCUAACACCACAAAAAUGUUUU